UACGUAGGGCGCAAGCGUUGUCCGGAAUUAUUGGGCGUAAAGAGCUCGUAGGUGGUUUGUUACGUCUGCUGUGAAAACCUAGGGCUUAACCCUGGGCCUGCAGUGGAUACGGGCAGACUAGAGGUAGGUAGGGGAGAAUGGAAUUCCCGGUGUAGCGGUGAAUGACGCAGAUAUCGGGAGGAACACCGGUGGCGAAGGCGGUUCUCUGGGCCUGUACUGACGCUGAGGAGCGAAAGCGUGGGGAGCGAACAGGA
rnacentral:rRNA from 1 species